CCCCUAGAUGUUCUGGGCCGCACGCGCGCUACACUGAACAGUUCAACAAGUCUUAACCUUGGCCGAUAGGUCUGGGUAAUCUUUGAACGCUGGUCGUGAUGGGGAUAGACUUUUGCAAUUUUUGGUCUUCAACGAGGAAUUCCUAGUAAACGCAAGUCAUCAACUUGCAUUGAUUACGUCCCUGCCCUUUGUACACACCGCCCGUCGCACCUACCGAUUGAAUGGUCCGGUGAAGCCUCCGGAUUGGCGCGCACCUCGGUGCCGCCGAGAAGUUGGCUAAACCUUACCAUUUAGAGGAAGGUGAAGUCGUANCA
rnacentral:rRNA from 1 species